rnacentral:rRNA from 1 species
UACAGAGGGGGCAAGCGUUGUUCGGAAUUACUGGGCGUAAAGGGCGCGUAGGCGGCCUGUUAAGUCGAACGUGAAAUCCCCGGGCUCAACCCGGGAACUGCGUCCGAUACUGGCAGGCUUGAAUUCGGGAGAGGGAUGCGGAAUUCCAGGUGUAGCGGUGAAAUGCGUAGAUAUCUGGAGGAACACCGGUGGCGAAGGCGGCAUCCUGGACCGAUAUUGACGCUGAGGCGCGAAAGCCAGGGGAGCAAACGGG